rnacentral:lncRNA from 1 species
CCUCCCUUGGCUCCCCUGAGCAUCCUCAGCUGAGCUGCUGGGGUUUGGCCCUUACUGUCCCGUUUGUGCUUCUCUGUCUCCUGAAGGCUCUCAGCGUUGGAAGCCCCUGGCAAGGGGCGGCAUCUUCCCUCCAAGGCUCGUCACCAGGCGGCCUGGUGAGUUGUCGGUUUUUGCGUCUAUAGCCCUGACAACCCAGGUGGCAGAACAGACCUGCUGGGGGGUUGCAAGCCUGGAGGGGUCGCUGCUUCUCUGAUUGGACACUUGACUGCCACCUGGCUGCCUAGGUACUUAGAGAUCAGAACAUUGAGCUCUUGGUGGUACAUGGACUAUAUCUCCUUACUAUAGAAAUAUUACACUUUAUAGACGUAAUAGCCAAGACUCUCGUCAUUGCAAGUGACAGAAAACCSAACCCCAAAUGUUUAAAGCAGCAAAAAGGAAUUUAUUGGUUUAAGUCUAAAAACGYGAUGGCUUCAGGCACAGUUUGAUCCAGGGACUCCAGUGCUUUUGUCAGGACGUGCAUAUCUCCAGGUGUUCCUUGUUCUGCACGAGCUUCAUUCUUAGGCUC